AACUUUUGGCAAUGGAUCUCUUGGUUCUGGCAUCGAUGAAGAACGCAGCGAAAUGCGAUAAGUAAUGUGAAUUGCAGAAUUCAGUGAGUCAUCGAAUCUUUGAACGCACAUUGCGCCCCGUGGUAUUCCGCGGGGCAUGCCUGUUCGAGCGUCAUUUCAACCCUCAAGCUCCGCUUGGUGUUGGGCCCUGCCCGUCGCGGCCGGCCCUAAAGACAGUGGCGGCGCCGUCUGGCUCUAAGCGUAGUACAUCUCUCGCUCUAGGGUCCUGCGGUGGCUUGCCAGAACCCCCAAACUUCUAUGGUUGACCUCGGAUCAGGUAGGGAUACCCGCUGAACUUAAGCAUAUCAAUAAGCGGAGGCU
rnacentral:misc_RNA from 1 species